GUACAUGCCCUUGACCAGAAUCGAUGCCAGGACCUUCGAUCUGUAGGCUGACACUCUGUUCACUGAGCCAAACUGACUAGGGCCAUUGUGUUAUUUUAAAUUUAGGGAGGUGCCUUAGACCUCCACACCACAUCCCAUUGCAAACAGAGUAGAAGAGGUCUGGCUUCACACGUGGGCAAGUUGGUGUGGAUUCUGGAGCCCUUCACCCCUCUGAGCCCCAGCUGCCUUUACACGGGAACAGAGGCUGGUACUGGAAGGGCUGCGGGAGGCUGGCCCUCGAUGCAUGCCCUGCCUGUGGCGCAUCUCACUCCGGGCCUGGCCUUGGGGAUGUGGUCCCUGUAUGUGUGUGAGGAAAAUGCUGUCUUUCAGAGAGCGGAGGACGGGUCUGGCUGGUGCCGAUGCACUUUCUCUGUCUGCUGUCUGUCAGCUUCUAACUCUUCCUCUCGCUAGGCCCAGGCCUCAAGCCCUUGCAGCCCCCUCCUUCCUUCCCCCUCCCCCCAGCACUGCCAGCUGCUCCUCGCCAGGGGCUAGGGCAUGGCAGUGCCCCCUCCCCCCUCUGAGAGGAUGCUCCUGGCCACCUCCUGGGACCCGUCACCACAGCAGCAGGGCUGUCGUGGUGGAGCCACCACUUCCGGCAGCCCCACUCUGUCUGCCAUCAUUUGAAUCCUCACGACAACCUGGGAGGUAUUUUCCGAUGAGAAAAUAAAGGCCCAGAAAGCUGAAAUCAUUUGUAAAACGUGUCCCCUUUUGUGGGAGGAGAAUGUGAGUGACUGGGAAGGGGUGGGCCUGGACCAGAGCCACGAGCCCCCACACCCUCCCAGGGCCUGACUUUCUCCUGCACGUCCCGGGGACGCCAGGGGCCGGCACAUGAAACGGGCGGGCCCCUUCUCGGGAAUUCCCGGGGACUCGGCCCCGUCAGUCUGGGCGGAGCUGCCACAGCCCUUGGCAGAGGCAGGGCCGGGAUGACUUCAUGUUUGCAUUAGGGACUUUCAGGAUGGGACAAGGCUUGUCUUUAUUUCAGGGCCGAUGACCUUGGUGUGAGCAGGCGACCUCCCUCCUCACCGAUGGGAGAUGAGAUCUCGAUGCUGAAUAGAGUGACAUGGACCCAAAGGGCCCUGAGCAGCACCCCGGCACCUCCCGACACCGGCUGGGUGCUGCCCACGGUCCCGGGGCCCAGGACACCUGCCUGCGUGGAAACUCUGCCCGGUGCCUCUCACCUUCGCUUGAGUGUCGAAUUCACCUGGGAGCUCUGACAACCACCGGACCUCCACCUGAGGCCAAUUCAAGUCCUGGUCACACAGACGGAUUUGCCCAGAGCCUCUUCACUUCCACAAAGUCCUGUUUCCCUCCAGCGGGAGUGGUGGGCUCCAGGGCGUCUAGGGAUCCCCGAGGGUCCACCCCGCAGCCCUGAAGGCCGAGCAGGAACUCGGGGUGCGCACGUGUCAGGCCCUAUGCCUUGGGCAUCAACUCCACCUUCCUUGCUACUCAAGUGAGGAGCUCCUGCCCAGCGGCUCCCGAGAUGGCGGAAGGCAACUGUCAUCUCUCCCCUGGACGAUCCAGGCCACCUCUGGCCCCCUGAACCUCCAGACAAGUCGGGCCACCUGCAUCUUCCUUCGACAAGGCCCUACUGUCAUCUCCUGCCUCUUAGAUGAUCUGGGCCGCCGUGCCUACCCCUGCAGGACACCCGCGGGCUCCCAACUGGCUCCGACUGGCCUCCCGGCCUCUGAUCUUGGCCCCUCCCGCCCAUGCCCACCCUGAAGCCAGACCGACUUUCUAAAAUCUGGUUGCAUUGCUCCCUGCUCAGCAUUGACUAACUGCUUCCCAUUAAAUGUGGGAUAAAGUUCCAGCUUCGUGACGUGAUUUAUGGGGCCUUUGGUCAGUGGGCCAAUGCCUGGCUGUCUCAUCCUCUAAGCCGCCAAGCCACAGCCAGGGCCCAACCAGGGGGGUCCAAGCAGGUUGGGAAUGUCACACUCCUCCUGAUAGUUUUAAAAUAUUUUCACAUUUAUCAAACAGGAAACUACGUUCUUACUCACAUAGAGGCCGUCCCUCUCGUGGUGAAUGCUAGGGCUUUAGAACAUGCACUCUGUCCGGGUGACCUGCCAGUCCACCGGGAAGUCUUUCGUCUGACAUUUCCCUGCCCUCCUGGGGGGAGGGGGGGCGUCGGCCACUCACACGCCUUCAAGACUGGCUGCAUCUUAGGGGCAUUCAGCUUCAGAGUUGUCUUCCCAUAAAGAACCUCCCCGUUCCUGACCCAGCGGGGCAGCCGCGCGCUGCUCCCAGGACCCGCGCAUGGGGGUCAGCAGCAGGCCAGGGGCUUAGGCUCCCCCUGAGGGCGCUGCUUGGGGGGUGGGCAUCCAGGUCCCCUCUCCUGGUUCAUCCCUGAGGAACACACGCUUCUUGUGGGCCCUGGGCUGGCUGGUCCCUCCAUUCCUGGCUCAUCAUCAUGAACCCUUUUCCCACCUCCUGACUCAGGGGCUCACAAGCAUUCAGACCCGGGUUUUUUUGUUUUUUUGUUUUUAAUAAAACUGAUAUUUUAUAAUAUGACUUUCUAUUCUGAAGUUGAAGUCAUAAAUAUAUAAUUCAUGAGUACAUGUGAUUUCCAAAACAUUGAUAUGAUGCCCUCAUUAAAAUAGAAAGGAGGAGGAUUAAAAGGAAGGAAACUUGCAUGAAAUCGUAAGUGGGAACCCUCGACCCCCUCGGGGAAAUCAAGAAGGAAUCAGACUCUUGCUGGGAUUCCAGGAGCCCCAGGCAGGCACCGGCCACAAGUGCAGAUGGUCACAGGUG